CCCAUGGGGACCCAGCGAUCUCCCCACGAGGCGACAAGCCCAAGUAUCGCGUCCCGUUCUGUUUUACGAGGGCGCAACCAUG
rfam:Bradyrhizobium erythrophlei strain GAS478 genome assembly, contig: Ga0132009_11